rnacentral:rRNA from 1 species
GAUGAACGCUGGCGGCGUGCCUAAUACAUGCAAGUCGAGCGAACAGGCGAGGAGCUUGCUCCUCUGACGUUAGCGGCGGAUGGGUGAGUAACACGUGGAUAACCUACCUAUAAGACUGGGAUAACUUCGGGAAACCGGAGCUAAUACCGGAUAAUAUAUUGAACCGCAUGGUUCAAUAGUGAAAGACGGUUUUGCUGUCACUUAUAGAUGGAUCCGCGCCGCAUUAGCGAGUUGGUAAGGUAACGGCUUACCAAGGCAACGAUGCGUAGCCGACCUGAGAGGGUGAUCGGCCACACUGGAACUGAGACACGGACCAGACUCCUACGGGAGGCAGCAGUAGGGAAUGUUCCGCAAUGGGCGAAAGCAUGACGGAGCAACGCCGCGUGAGUGAUGAAGGUCUUCGGAUCGUAAAACUCUGUUAUUAGGGAAGAACAAAUGUGUAAGUAACUAUGCACGUCUUGACGGUACCUAAUCAGAAAGCCACGGCUAACUACGUG